UACAGAGGUCCCGAGCGUUGUUCGGAUUCACUGGGCGUAAAGGGUGCGUAGGUGGCUUCGCAAGUUUGAUGUGAAAUCUCCGGGCUUAACCCGGAAAUGGCAUUGAAUACUGCGUGAGCUCGAGGGUUGGAGGGGGGACUGGAAUUCUCGGUGUAGCAGUGAAAUGCGUAGAGAUCGGCAGGAACACCCGUGGCGCAAGCGGCCACCUAGCCCAUUCCUGACGCUGAUGCGCGACAGCGUGGGGAGCGAACUGG
rnacentral:rRNA from 1 species